GCGUAAGCGUGCGUAGGUGGCCAAUUAAGUCAAAUGUGAAAUCCCCGAGCUUAACUUGGGAAUUGCAUUCGAUACUGGUUGGCUAGAGUAUGGGAGAGGAUGGUAGAAUUCCAGGUGUAGCGGUGAAAUGCGUAGAGAUCUGGAGGAAUACCGAUGGCGAAGGCAGCCAUCUGGCCUAAUACUGACACUGAGGUACGAAAGCAUGGGGAGCAAACAGGAUUAGAUACCCUGGUAGUCCAUGCCGUAAACGAUGUCUACUAGCCGUUGGGGUCUUUGAGACUUUAGUGGCGCAGCUAACGCGAUAAGUAGACCGCCUGGGGAGUACGGUCGCAAGACUAAAACUCAAAUGAAUUGACGGGGGCCCGCACAAGCGGUGGAGCAUGUGGUUUAAUUCGAUGCAACGCGAAGAACCUUACCUGGUCUUGACAUAGUAAGAACUUUCCAGAGAUGGAUUGGUGCCUUCGGGAACUUACAUACAGGUGCUGCAUGGCUGUCGUCAGCUCGUGUCGUGAGAUGUUGGGUUAAGUCCCGCAACGAGCGCAACCCUUUUCCUUAUUUGCCAGCGGGUUAAGCCGGGAACUUUAAGGAUACUGCCAGUGACAAACUGGAGGAAGGCGGGGACGACGUCAAGUCAUCAUGGCCCUUACGACCAGGGCUACACACGUGCUACAAUGGUCGGUACAAAGGGUUGCUACCU
rnacentral:rRNA from 1 species